GCCCAAGAGAGAUCUGAUGUGGGCUGGAUCCGAAAAAAAUGACCCAAUAUAGAUGUGUUAUUAAUAUUACUUAAUUGCUCUUAAUGAAACAUGCAAUGUUAGUAAAGAAAAUGGCAGACUAAGGUAAAAAGUACAAUAAGAUCAUGUUUUAAUAGUAUAGAUAGACAAACGCCCACUAAGCAUCAAAUUUUCAAAGUUCGUUUAAAAAAAAAAAAUUUGUUUGUCACAAGUUUGUAGUCAUUUUUUUUGCUAAAUACAAGUUUGUAGUCAUUGACAAAAUCUCUCAAGAAGAAAAUACCAUUGCAACUUAGAAGUGUUGUAAGUAUACUAUCGUCUACUAUAUCACUGACAAGCUGUGCUGGUUUUUAUUUGGUCUAUAGUUUUUUUUGUAGAAGGUUUAGAUCGAGGUUUAUGUGAAAUAAUUUGAGAAAGUUUUCGAGUAAAUCAAGUAACGUAAUAGUUUAUGCAUAGCUGCUAGCUGAUCGUAAAACCAGGAUGCGAUAGCAAAAUAGCUAGAAGUCAUGUAUUUAAAACAUAACCAGAACAUGGUUUGUUACAUACGUCUAUAGCUUUGUUAUCUUGGAAGCAUAAAGCCAAUAUUGUACAAAUACAUAGUAAGAUACUCUGUUCGGAAACCAGAUUAAAAAUAAAAGAAAUAAAAUUUUAGCUAAAACCAAAAUCUAAUAACAAAUGGAAUCUUUAGAGAAGAAAUGAUGGCAUGGGCAAUGUGUUGAUAUCGGUUCAAGAGUCAAGACAAUGCACAAGGAUCCAAGAAAGCAUUCAAACAAAAAGAGGAACAGUAAAAGUGGAAGGUGUGUGAUGUGUGAUGUGUGAUGUGUGAUGUGUUAUGUGUGAUGUGUGAUGCGCACUUCUAAUGGUUCACGAUAUUAGAGGAAUCCAAUUUAAUUUGUUUGGUUAAACAAAGUUAAAAUCCCGUAAAUUGACGGAGAAGGUUACACAAAAAGAUAUUUUGUUUGCUGGAGAAGACACGUCGUGGGUUUGGACACAAUGUUGUCACAUCUAUAUUAUUCUGGACCAAACUAUCUCUUCACUUGGGUAAGUGAGAGAACGUUGAUUUUAAAGAUGCAACUAUAAGGAAAUCAGAUUUUUUUCUGGUUACAAUAAACGAAAAUGUUUCGAAUUGAAAGCUAGGUAUAUAGAUUUUUGGGAUUGUGUUUGGACGUUGGAUUAACUUUUAGUUAUAAGAUCUAAUGGCUUAGAAACUUCUAUCACUGUAAAGCGUGGACAUAUCUUUAUUAAUAUUAUUAACCAUCCACCGCUACAUGUCCACGACCACAACUAUUAGCUAUAUACACACGAUCAAAAACUGAAUUCAUUAUCCAUCAAUAGCUAUAUGUACACGACCACAACCAUUAGAUAUAUACACGAAUCCAGCAACCACAACGUAAUAUCAUUAACAAUCCACCACUACAUCCACGACACAACUAUUACAUACACACAUGAACAACCACUGCUAUCAUUAACCAUCCACAGCUAUAUGUCCACGCCCACAACUAUAAGAUAUGCACACGCAUCCAGCAAACGAAACCUUAUAUCAGCAACCAUCCAAAGCUUCAUGUCCACGACCACAACUGCGGUCAAACACAGCGUUUUGUCUUCAUGUGGGAGAUUGUCUGUGAACCAAAUCGGCAGAAGCAAGCAUCGGAUAAAGCGGCAGAAGCAGAGAAAUAUUGGAUAGAUAAAGAGAGAAGAGAUAAAUCGAUUGAGAAAGGACUGGAGCGGACACAGAAAAUCGAUUGAGAUAGGAGACAAAAAUUAUGUUUAGCCUAGGAAGGGAUUAGGGUUCUUGUAACUGGUUUUGUUUGGAUCUGGGUAGAUGUUGAGGAGAGGAGCCACUCUCAUUUUUUUUAAUUGACAAAAAAGAUUUGUAACAAAAAAAUAAGGAGUGGUAGGAAGAGGGUAACGAGAGACAAAGUUUAGAAAUGAGAAAUUGGGGUGUAUAACCAAACAAAAACGUAUAAUUCACUGCAUAGCCAUUUUCCCUAACAUUUCUAUACACGGUGUUAACUUUAUAAAUUAAUAUUAUAUUGCCCUUUUUUGUAACCGGCGAAACCUGAAACAAAAAAAAAAUAUAUUUGUAAUUAUUAUAUCUGAAAAGUACAACGUGGCUUUACUGACUUCACAUCUUUCUUUUUUAUUCCUUAGUAACUUCGUAUCCUUUCAAUGCUCUCCGACACCGCUUCGCUGCACAUCAUCACUUCCACCGGAUUAACAUUGAAUUGUUGACUUCUUCUUCAUUCUUUGCAAGCGCAUCCUCUUCUUCUCAUCUGAAAUCGUCUGUCACACGACAGCGUUAGAGUGUCAGCGGCGAGUAGUACCAAACCGUUCCUAUUCUACUUCACACCGUCGAUUCUUGUCAGAUCUCUGGAACUACAUUAAGUUCUCAGGUUUGGCAUGGACGAAUUAGGCCUUCUAAGUAGAUUGGUUGAGACGUGUUUUGAACGACAUAUUAACAAAUAUUUCAACUUCCGUUGGAUUGAGGUGAUCAAGAAUGCAUUAGAGGGUUCAAUCUUGUUCGUUGUUAUUUCAUGUUCUCUUGAUAUUAGUUUUGUAUCGGUGCCUAAAUGUGUUUUAUAUUAGUGUGUAUAUGAUUUUGUAAAGAGAAAUAAUAUAUUGAACGUAAAUGGAAUAAAAUUUAUUAUGACAUCAAAUAAAACAUAAUACAAUGUGAUGUUGAAUGAGAAUGAUAUUCAUAUGAUGUUGUCUCUUCCACCUAUUUUAUUUAAAUGCCGUAAAUCUUCAUUUCUUUCGCUACAAUCAAUUUGAAUUUAGUGCAAGCAUUACUUCUUUUCCCUCAAUUAUAAACACUUCAAAAUCUAAACAAUAUUUACUGUCUUAUAUCGUUUGUCACCGUUUCUAUUCUAUAUGUCCAUGUAGAAUGAAAAUGCUUCUUACUGGCAUUUCGAAAUUUGGGUUUAGUUUAUGAAAUAUUAGGGUUGACAUUGGAUUACGAUUUAUAUUUCCAUGUUGGGUUUAGUGAUUAGUGGUUUUGUUUAAGUUAGUGUCGACAUUGGGGUUGACAUUGGAUUAGGGUUUAUAUUUCCAUGUAGGGUUUAAUGAUUUGUUGAUAGGGUUUAGUUAUGUACGAUUGGGUUGACAUUUGGGCAAGCAUUACCACAUUUCAUGAAGGCAUAGCCAUAUCAACAUUUGAGAAAUGUGUUAAGAUGAUCUUUAGAUUAUAACUACAUUUUCACAUUUUCUAUUUUAUGCCUUAUGUAAAAUGGUAUUGCAUUUUACUGGCAUUUCAAAAUUUGGGUUUAGUUUAUAGAAGAUUGGGGUUGACAUUGGAUUAGGGUUUAUAUUUCCGUGUAGGGUUUAACGAUUAGUUGAUAGAUUUAGUUUAUCAAAGAUUUGAAGUGACAUAGGAUGAGGGUUUAUAUUUCCGUAUAGGGUAUAGUGAUUAUUGAGGAGGGGCUAGUUUCUGACAUAUUGGGUUCUCCAUUUGAAGAUUGGAUAAAGAGUUAAUUAAUAUGGAAGAGUUUUAGUUUUAUAACUGGGUUAGUGUUUAUAUUUCUUUUUAGGGUUUAGUAAUGAUUGGAGAAGGUUUAGUUUCUGGCAUAUUGGGUAUGCCAUUUGAAGAUUGGGGUUCACAUUGGAUUAGAGGUCAUAUUUCCGUGUAAAGUUUAGUGAUUAGUUAAUAGAGUAGUAUAUAUUCCUCUGUGUGCUUACUCAGGUUUUAAACUUCUAUGCUAUUUGGCAUUUACAUCGUGACAUAUACUAUUGUGUCAUAUAGAAUAGCAAUGUUCUGAAAUUGGUUUCUCUGUUACGUUACCUUAUGUAGAACGCGUACACUUAUUAUCCACUCAUUUUCCUUCGUAAUUUUCUAUCAUAUGUGAUAAAUACAGCUGGCCUCUCAUCUGCAUAUCGGUAUGUAUGUGUUUAUAUUUCACAGAAAACACCACGUCGCUUAUUUUAGGAAUUGUAACUGGCAACCGUUUACGUGAAGGGGCAGAACCGGAGAGAAUGUGACCAAAGAGUCUGACAUUUAAUUAAGUCAAAAUUAGUGCUACUCACCUAAUUUCACACUGAAAUACGGCUAUUUCGCCAAUAAACCCAUUAGAAAUUGAGACUAGGAAAAAGAUAAAAAAAAAUGAAAAGAAAAGAAAUAAAAUAAAAAUUUAAAGCAUUUCAGUUUUGGCUCACCAAAUGAAGUAACGAGAAAAAGAGAGAUGGUUGAAGGGUAUAUUGGCCAUUCACCACAUAGAAAGUGUGUGUCCAUCAGAAAGUGUCUAAUGGAGUAAUUGAAAACUCACAAAAUGUCUAUGAGAGUAAAUUUUUCUAAAUUGACAUGCAAAAACUAACAACACAGAGGUGUGCAUUCUGUAAAAUGAUUUACAUUUGAACAUAUGUUUUUAAAGGGGUGAAUUUGCGAGAUAGUCAAAAUCGAGAGUAUAAUUAGGCAUAUGACUAUGAUUUUGACGUUAUUGAGUGAAUAACAUUUUACCUUCUCCCAAGUCGGUUAUACCCUCACUGGAAACAAGUUACCGGUCAAAACAAAAAGAGAGAUGACAUCGAUGACUUAAGAGAUGGACCACAUUCACAGUGUACUACUAACUAACGAAUCAAGCAAA